rnacentral:lncRNA from 1 species
GCAAGAGGAAGCUCGGAUUCGUCGCCGACGUCGCGCCGCGGAGCCGUUCGGGCAUACUUCCGUCGUCGUGUUGCUGCGAGCAGGCCGGGCGAGCGGAGGUUUUCGCCGUUUUUCUGUCGCAGCGGUGCCCGGUGUUGUCGAGGUGAGUAUUUCAGCAUUUCCCUGGAUUUUGGGCAAGUUUUUACUACUUCGACUCGGUAAAUUGUUGGUUGCUGAAAUCCACCGUCGACUGUUAGUAUUUCAGCUCGUUCUCGACGUAGGAGCAUCGGAUUGCGACGAGACUUGGUUCGUUGGAUUCGGGACUGCGAGAGGAAUCCACGAAGCCCUUACUUGCGAAUUUUGGUGAAGGUUAGCUUGGUCGAAAUCCUUCUCUUCUCUGCUGCUGUGGAUUUUGGGACUGAAUUGAGAAAUUUUGGUGUUUUAGUUUGGAGUUAGCUCGAUUUCGAGACUCGGGCGUUUUUAGUUGAUCCAGCAGAGGGUAUCCUGGUUCGAGGCUUCGUUCGCUGCCAGGGGAUAGCUUUCGAGGUGGGUUACAUCGGCUUUACUCCUAAGUUCUUAUUGGUCGACAUGUAUAGAUCUUGAUUUCGGAAUUAAUGUUAGCUCAAAUUCAUGGAUUAUUGUUAGAAAUGUAAUAUCUGAAUUUUCGAGCAUAUUUUAUCAAGUAAAUAGAUUAUACAUGUUGGACUUGAAAAUUGAAUUAGGAGAAAACCUGCGAUUUGGACCUGUCACCAGUUUUAACUACCUGAUUUAGCUCUAGGAGCCGUUAGAGAAUUGUACUGUCGCAGUUUCUUCGAGACGAGUACUCCAGGUAGUUUAGAAUGUAUUUACUCUCGUGCUGGUUCGCCGAGUGGAUUUUUACAGGGUCGUUCAGGUCGUUCCGGACUGUUGGGUGCCGUCAGAGUUGACGGUGGACCCGUAUCGCCUUUUUGGCGUCAGAUUGUGCCGAGGGCACGUUACCUGUUCGUUGUUGGACCAGUUUGAGUCGAUUACUUGACUUUGGCUAGUUGGAGCCUGAUUGAGCUCGACAGAGAUACGCUGCAUACUCGGUUGGGUAGCGCCCACGAGUGCCACUCCGGAGUCAGGCUUGUGCUUUUGCGUUGGUGUCGCUCAUGCCAGUUGGACUUGCUCUCCACGGACCAGUUAGAGUGGAUAGAGCCCGAUAGUCGCAACGGGGCAGGGACGGGUGUAUUCACAGUCCCGGGGACGGGUAUGCUUACAGUCCCGAUUUGGAUUGGGUCAGACUUGGCUUUUCCUACAGUUGGUUAGUGUAGAGCAUGAUAGUGUAGUGAUUGAUAGCGGUAGAGUGUACUUCCUGCUUUUCCUACUAUCCUUGCUCCCUUCUGUAGACUUAGUGGGUGACCGAUGUUGUUUUGGGCGGUACCCACUGAGGACUACUUGUUUUUACAGUAGUUCUCACGCCCAGUUGUUACCUAUGUUUUUGCAGAGCCACAGGUUCCGGCUGCUGCACCGUCCGUGGAUCAGGAUCGAGGCAAGGGCGUCGCGAGUUAGAGCCCUACCCGACGUGCUGAGCUAGAGGUGCCCUACUGCAGGUAGAUGUUUUGUUUCGAGUUUAUGUACAUAGUUGACUUAACUCGCCAGUGCGAGUAGCUCUGUAUUUUGGAUCUGAGCUAUGUAUAUGAAACUCUGUUUUAUUUAGCUUCUGUUUUCUCUAGCAGCUCUCUACUACUGUUUGUAGUAGUGUUUGAUUUACAGGUACAGUUAUCGCUUCGUAUACAGGAAAAAUUUUUUUUGUAUACGGCGGAUUUGUCGGCGUGCCCGGGGAACGUGUAAUCCGGGGCGUGAC